AACUAAAUAAUGCAAUAACAGAUGCAAUAGAAACUAUGAGAAAAGAAUGCUGAAGACAGCAUUUUAAAUUUUAAAUGCAGGACAGAAGUCAAGACACAUAACUGAAACGUGUCCCUGGGAUUAGUGACACAUGUCAAUGAGGACAUUGACAAGAGCAAUUUUUCUAGAGUAGAAAGGACAUAAGACAGUACAGUGGAUUGGCUAGUGAGAGGUUAAAAAAAACUAUAGACAGUGUAGAUUAUGUAUCCAUUUAUCUAUUCAUUCAUUCAUUAAUCAUACCUUCAUUCCUACACUAAUACAUUUUCUCAGGAACUGUUUUUGCCUGGCACUAAAUGAAGAAUUUUGCUUGUGAAGGAAGUGGAGCACAUCAGGCAGAAGAAAUGUUUUUGAAAUAGAAAAGCUGUAAGAAGAAUUAAUCUAAUGGAUAGUCACCAAUAGUAAUGGUGAUUUUUGAAAAUAUGACAGAGAAAGGCAUUAACAGAUCAAACCAGGCCUCUAAGAAGCCCAUUCUGUGGAACCCAGAAGUCCAAAUUCUUCUGCAUCCCAGCUGGCAAAAAUGAUAGUUCUUCUAGGUCUCCAGCCUGUUCAGUAAUUUUCUACAUGAUUGUGGAAAUGAUUUUUGGAGGUUCCACUUUGAAGUACAAUGGAUUCAUUUUGCAGAACCAGGUAUGGGCAGCUUAAACCAAUUCUUCAUAUCUUCUUUUGGCUCUCACAUGUAAAUUCCAAGCAACAGUAGAAAUUUAACUUUGCUGAUACUCUGUAUCUCUAGCUUUAUUUUUCUCUACUGAUGUUGUGUUUUAUGUUUCUGCAUUGCUCAGGGCAGAUUAAGUUAUUCCUCAUUGGUGGCAGCAAUGAUUUGGAGUUUGCCUUUAUGUCUUGUCACUUGAUAAUAUCUGUAAAUGGAUUAAUGGAUUAUCGAGAUCUCUGUGAGGCAAAUCAAACUUCUUGAAGUUCUGAUCAUGUCAUGCUGUUCAACAACUCUGUACAAGCUGAUUUCUCUAGUUGGCAUUUCUUGCCUGCCUUGACCCAGUGGUAAACUUUUUCUCUUUCUGUAAGACUAAGCUCAAUAAACACGCAAUUUGUGAUCACAUCUCUUCUAGAAGAGUGUUAUCAUGUUUUAA